CGGGAUGUAGCUCAAUGGCAGAGCGCUCGCCCAAAAGGCGAGAGACGCAGGUUCGAUUCCUGUCAUCCCGGCCA
rnacentral:tRNA from 1 species